AGAGCGAACGCUGGCGGCAGGCUUAACACAUGCAAGUCGAGCGCCGUAGCAAUACGGAGCGGCAGACGGGUGAGUAACACGUGGGAACGUACCUUUUGGUUCGGAACAACACAGGGAAACUUGUGCUAAUACCGGAUAAGCCCUUACGGGGAAAGAUUUAUCGCCGAAAGAUCGGCCCGCGUCUGAUUAGCUAGUUGGUGAGGUAACGGCUCACCAAGGCGACGAUCAGUAGCUGGUCUGAGAGGAUGAUCAGCCACACUGGGACUGAGACACGGCCCAGACUCCUACGGGAGGCAGCAGUGGGGAAUAUUGCGCAAUGGGCGGAAGCCUGACGCAGCGACGCCGCGUGGGGGAUGACGGCCUCGGGUUGUAAACCUCUUUCGCCAGGGACGAAGAGAAAUUGACGGUACCUGGAUAAGAAGCACCGGCCAACUACGUGCCAGCAGCCGC
rnacentral:rRNA from 1 species